GGAAGCGUGGCUGAGCGGUUGAAGGCGCCGGUCUCGAAAACCGGUAAGUCCGAAAGGGCUUCGGAGGUUCGAAUCCUCCCGCUUCCG
rnacentral:tRNA from 1 species